GACGAACCGUGCGAACGUUGUUCGGAUUCACUGGGCUUAAAGGGCGCGUAGGCGGGUUCUCAAGUCGGGGGUGAAAGCCCACAGCUCAACUGUGGAAGUGCCUCCGAUACUGGGAAUCUUGAGGGAGGUAGGGGUGCGUGGAACUUCCGGUGGAGCGGUGAAAUGCGUAGAUAUCGGAAGGAACGCCGGUGGCGAAAGCGACGCACUGGAUCUCUUCUGACGCUGAGGCGCGAAAGCUAGGGGAGCAAACGGG
rnacentral:rRNA from 1 species